rnacentral:rRNA from 1 species
GCCACCAUUUAAAGAGUGCGUAAUAGCUCACUGGUCGAGAGACUCUGCGCCGAAGAUGUCCGGGGCUAAAGUGUAAAACCGAAGUCGUGUCAUAUGCAGCAAUGUAUAUGGGUAGGGGAGCGUUCUCAUCGGGCUGAAGCAGUACCGUAAGGAGUUGUGGACUGAUGAGAAGUGAGAAUGUCGGUAUGAGUAGCGAAAAGAAUGGUGAGAAUCCAUUCCACCGAAAGCCUAAGGGUUCCUGAGCAACGAUCGUCGUCUCAGGGUAAGUCGGGACCUAAGCCGAGGCGGAAAAGCGUAGGCGAUGGACAACAGGUUGAAAUUCCUGUACCGGUGUGAAUCGUUUGAUCGAUGGAGUGACACAGUAAGGUAGGUAAGCACGCGAUUGGAAAUGCGUGUUUAAGCAUGUAGGUUGAGCUAUAGGCAAAUCCGUAGCUCUAAAAGCUGAGAUGUGAUGACGAGCUGUUUACAGCGAAGUGAUUGAUCCUACACUGUCGAGAAAAGCUUCUAGGUAGAGACACAUCGCCCGUACCAAAACCGACACAGGUAGGCGGGGAGAGAAUCCUAAGGUGCGCGGGAAAACCCUCGUUAAGGAACUCGGCAAAAUGCCUCCGUAACUUCGGGAAAAGGAGGACUCAUGUAGUGUGAAGGGCAGUAACGCGUGGAGCAUGAAUGAGUGGCACAAGAGAGGCGCAAGCGACUGUUUACCACAAACACAGGUGC